CACGUAGGGCGCAAGCGUUGUCCGGAAUUAUUGGGCGUAAAGAGCGUGUAGGCGGUUCGGUAAGUCUGUCGUGAAAUCCCUGAGGCUCAACCUCGGGCGUGCGAUGGAUACUGCCGGGCUAGAGGGUGGUAGAGGCGAGUGGAAUUCUCGGUGUAGCGGUGAAAUGCGCAGAUAUCGGGAGGAACACCUAUGGCGAAGGCAGCUCGCUGGGACGUUACUGACGCUGAGACGCGAAAGCGUGGGGAGCAAACAGG
rnacentral:rRNA from 1 species